rnacentral:misc_RNA from 1 species
GAUGAAGAACGCAGCGAAAUGCGAUAAGUAGUGUGAAUUGCAGAAUUCAGUGAAUCAUCGAAUCUUUGAACGCACAUUGCGCCCUUUGGUAUUCCAAAGGGCAUGCCUGUUCGAGCGUCAUUUGUACCCUCAAGCUUUGCUUGGUGUUGGGCGUCUUGUCUCUAGCUUUGCUGGAGACUCGCCUUAAAGUAAUUGGCAGCCGGCCUACUGGUUUCGGAGCGCAUCACAAGUCGCACUCUCUAUCAGCAAAGGUCUAGCAUCCAUUAAGCCUUUUUUUCAACUUUUGACCUCGGAUCAGGUAGGGAUACCCGCUGAACUUAAGCAUAUCAAUAAGCGGAGGA